rnacentral:rRNA from 1 species
UUGGGCGUAAGAGCUCGUAGGCGGUUUGUCGCGUCUGCCGUGAAAGUCCGGGGCUCAACUCCGGAUCUGCGGUGGGUACGGGCAGACUAGAGUGAUGUAGGGGAGACUGGAAUUCCUGGUGUAGCGGUGAAAUGCGCAGAUAUCAGGAGGAACACCGAUGGCGAAGGCAGGUCUCUGGGCAUUAACUGACGCUGAGGAGCGAAAGCAUGGGGAGCGAACAGGAUUAGAUACCCUGGUAGUCCAUGCCGUAAACGUUGGGCACUAGGUGUGGGGGACAUUCCACGUUUUCCGCGCCGUAGCUAACGCAUUAAGUGCCCCGCCUGGGGAGUACGGCCGCAAGGCUAAAACUCAAAGGAAUUGACGGGGGCCCGCACAAGCGGCGGAGCAUGCGGAUUAAUUCGAUGCAACGCGAAGAACCUUACCAAGGCUUGACAUGGACUGGAAAUACCUGGAAACAGGUGCCCCGCUUGCGGUCGGUUCACAGGUGGUGCAUGGUUGUCGUCAGCUCGUGUCGUGAGAUGUUGGGUUAAGUCCCGCAACGAGCGCAACCCUCGUUCUAUGUUGCCAGCGCGUUAUGGCGGGGACUCAUAGGAGACUGCCGGGGUCAACUCGGAGGAAGGUGGGGACGACGUCAAAUCAUCAUGCCCCUUAUGUCUUGGGCUUCACGCAUGCUACAAUGGCCGGUACAAAGGGUUGCGAUACUGUGAGGUGGAGCUAAUCCCAAAAAGCCGGUCUCAGUUCGGAUUGGGGUCUGCAACUCGACCCCAUGAAGUCGGAGUCGCUAGUAAUCGCAGAUCAGCAACGCUGCGGUGAAUACGUUCCCGGGCCUUGUACACACCGCCCGUCAAGUCACGAAAGUUGGUAACACCCGAAGCCGGUGGCCUAACCCCUUGUGGGAGGGAGCUGUCGAAGUGGGACU